CCUACGGGAGGCAGCAGUGGGGAAUUUUGGACAAUGGGCGCAAGCCUGAUCCAGCAAUGCCGCGUGCAGGAUGAAGGCCUUCGGGUUGUAAACUGCUUUUGUACGGAACGAAAAAGUCUGCCCUAAUACGGUGGGCCCAUGACGGUACCGUAAGAAUAAGCACCGGCUAACUACGUGCCAGCAGCCGCGGUAAUACGUAGGGUGCGAGCGUUAAUCGGAAUUACUGGGCGUAAAGCGUGCGCAGGCGGUUAUAUAAGACAGAUGUGAAAUCCCCGGGCUCAACCUGGGACCUGCAUUUGUGACUGUAUAGCUAGAGUACGGUAGAGGGGGAUGGAAUUCCGCGUGUAGCAGUGAAAUGCGUAGAUAUGCGGAGGAACACCGAUGGCGAAGGCAAUCCCCUGGACCUGUACUGACGCUCAUGCACGAAAGCGUGGGGAGCAAACAGGAUUAGAUACCCUGGUAGUCCACGCCCUAAACGAUGUCAACUGGUUGUUGGGUCUUCACUGACUCAGUAACGAAGCUAACGCGUGAAGUUGACCGCCUGGGGAGUACGGCCGCAAGGUUGAACUUAAAGGAAUUGACGGCUGAGACGNGCGACGGACGACGACGAGGGAGGAGG
rnacentral:rRNA from 1 species